GAUCCAUGUGAAGAUAAAAAUAGGAAUGCCAUCAUUCCAUCUAAAUCCUUCACUAAAUGCUAAAAGUUCUGAAUUCUUAAAUUUAAGGCAGGGUUAAGAUUCUUUGCCACUGAUUUUCAAUGAGGAUCCAUCCCAGGGCUCGUUAGCCCCCUGUGAGUGGGACCAGCUGUGCUAAUCCUGUGAUCAGCUCAGUGAUUUGGUUCCAGAGGCACCUGGAGCCAGCAGUUAAACCUGGUGCUGGUGUAAAACACAGGAGGAGCAGACAGAGAGAGUGUCCUGCAAAACCAGGAAAGCUUGGAAACACCUUGGGAGAGAGCUCUGAAAGAUUUAAUGACCAAGCCAAAAGCAGCACCUGCCUGAGCAGCAGAGAUGGCUGUGCUGGCCCAGGUCUGGCUGUGCCUGCCAGGAGCAUUUCCCUGCAGCCCAGCCCCAGGGGGAGUCGAUGUGAGGCCCAGCUAAGCUCCACACAAAGCUUGGAAAUUAUUCUGAGCUGCCUGCACAGAACUGUGGAUGGAAUCUUCAGACACAGAGCAAACACUCCUCCUUGGGAGCUCCUUUUCCUGGAGCCUGCCUGGAUGCCUUGGAAGAGGCUUUUUUUGCAUUUUCUGGAAAGCCAAAGGACCACAAGCCCUGAAUGCACUGUCCUGCCUGGAGCAGAGCCUGCAGGGAGGGGAGCCCUGAGCUGCUGGAGACUGCCACUGAAUUUAACUGGACCACAUUGGUGUAAUUGAGAGCAGAAGAUUG